UACAGAGGUCUCAAGCGUUGUUCGGAUUCAUUGGGCGUAAAGGGUGUGUAGGUGGCGCGCUAAGUCGGGUGUGAAAUUUCGGAGCUUAACUCCGAAACUGCAUUCGAUACUGCGGUGCUUGAGGACUGGAGAGGAGACUGGAAUUCAUGGUGUAGCAGUGAAAUGCGUAGAGAUCCGGAGGAACACCGACGGCGUAGGCAGCGCCCUGGACGACACCUGACGCUGAGGCACGAAAGCUGGGGGAGCGAACAGG
rnacentral:rRNA from 1 species